rnacentral:rRNA from 1 species
GAGCCUGGUGAUAGCUGGUUGCCCAGAACAGAAUCUUAGUUCAACUUUAAACUUACCUCAAAAACCUUAAAAUUCCAAUGUAAGUUUAAAUUAUACUCUAAAAAGGUACAGCUUUUUAGAACUAGGAUACAGCCUUAAUUAGAGAGUAAGCACAAACACAAACCAUAGUUGGCCUAAAAGCAGCCACCAAUUAAGAAAGCGUUCAAGCUCAACAAUCAAAACAUCUCAAUGUCAAAAAACGCAACCAACUCCUAACCUAAAACUGGGCUAAUCUAUUUAAUAAUAGAAGCAAUAAUGCUAAUAUGAGUAACAAGAAGUAUUUCUCCCGUGCAUAAGCUUAUAUCAGAACGGAUAACCACUGAUAGUUAACAAUAAGAUAUAUACAACCUAACUACAAGCAAAAUAUCAAACUAAUUGUUAACCCAACACAGGUAUGCAGCUCAGGGAAAGAUUAAAAGAAGUAAAAGGAACUCG